rnacentral:rRNA from 1 species
GAUGAACGCUGGCGGCGUGCCUAAUACAUGCAAGUCGAGCGAACAGACGAGGAGCUUGCUCCUCUGACGUUAGCGGCGGACGGGUGAGUAACACGUGGAUAACCUACCUAUAAGACUGGGAUAACUUCGGGAAACCGGAGCUAAUACCGGAUCAUAUAUUGAACCGCAUGGUUCAAUAGUUAAAGACGGUUUUGCUGUCACUUAUAGAUGGAUCCGCGCCGCAUUAGCUAGUUGGUAAGGUAACGGCUUACCAAGGCGACGAUGCGUAGCCGACCUGAGAGGGUGAUCGGCCACACUGGAACUGAGACACGGUCCAGACUCCUACGGGAGGCAGCAGUAGGGAAUCUUCCGCAAUGGGCGAAAGCCUGACGGAGCAACGCCGCGUGAGUGAUGAAGGUCUUCGGAUCGUAAAACUCUGUUAUUAGGGAAGAACAAAUGUGUAAGUAACUAUGCACGUCUUGACGGUACCUAAUCAGAAAGCCACGGCUAACUACGUG